GAAGCCAUUAGUGUGGUACCCCAGGGACGUAGGCGAAGGGACCUCAGUGAGGAAAUGUUAGACUACGGAAACCUUUCAGUACCCUCGGUGUGGGUCACUGCAGGAACACCAACAGCAGUCAGAGUUGAAUGGUCUCCGGUGGAAGGCGCG